GGUCCGGCUGCAGGUCGCAGACUUGGCCUUCCACGCCCCCGGCCUUCCACGCCUCCUGCCUUGCACAGUCCGCCCCACAACUGCCUAUAGUCCGUAGAAAGAGAAGAAGAGCUGCUGUACAGUUUUUCCAAUUCGAAAAAGAAAAGGAGCUGAAAACGUUUUCUGACACGGAACAAUGGCACAACAGAACCAGGUUUAGACUUUAUUGAGCCAUUAAUGAGAAGACAGAGUAAAGACUUGGCACUACAUCUGAAAUGAACAAAUGUCUUGCUAUUCUGUUCCAUAGCACUGCAUUCUGCAGAUUUCAGAUUUUUUCUUUUAGAAGAAACGUCAGCGUCCCUUCUCCAACAUCCAGCACAGGGCACUGAUGAGCAGCAGCAUGGAAUCCUUCAGCAUUUCACCGAGGCACAGAAGUGGUGUGCUGAGAACAUUUCUGUGUUCAGAGGGCGAAUCUCACUCCCUGCAUUACUGUCAAUGGACAAAGACGACACUGAGGAGGCCCUUCAGAAAUUUGAUUUGCUAUCUGAAUUUCCAGAAGAAGAGGAGAGAGAAUAUGUCUUUAGACAUAUUUUUUUCACUUAUGGAAGACAUGCAUCUGUUUUUAGAUUAACGUGAGAGGAAAAAGGAAAAUGACUGAGUUUUGUGAGAAAAUGUAACAAACAUACAUGUCCCUCAUUGUUCAGUUACAACCUACAAUUCUUG